UCCAUGGAGACGGGACGCCGUUCGAGAAGAGGCGGAACUUUCAAAACCCCCGGGCGGAGAAAGGGCGUGGCGAGUGGUGCCUGGGAGCCGGCGUUGAACCGGCGGGAUGACUAGCAACCGAGCCUUUUUCGAGGUUCUUAGAGAUGAUUUUAACAGCACUGGCUUGACAGAUUUGUAACUGGGGAUCCCCUGGAAGAAUCGUCUGGAAAUUACGACCUUCAUCUGGCGAUUGCAGCUGUUAAAGUCUCCAAAGAAGCCAUUCUUACAUUGUGUUGUGAAAUUAUUACUCUAUCUCAAAUCUGUGCCAGAAAGAAAAUAAAAUGUGUGUUUAUGUGUAUAUUAU
rnacentral:lncRNA from 10 species